rnacentral:sRNA from 1 species
GGAGCGGCUCCGGGCGGCAGCUAUGAGGCGGGACGUGCGCAUCCUGUUACUGGGCGAGGCCCAGGUGGGGAAGACGUCGCUGAUCCUGUCCCUGGUGGGCGAGGAGUUCCCCGAGGAGGUAAGGGGCACGCCCGCCGCGGGGGUGGGAGCGGGCCCAGCCGGGGGUCCCUGGUGAGCGCGCGGGUCCCUUGCAGGUCCCUCCCCGCGCGGAGGAGAUCACGAUCCCCGCGGACGUCACCCCGGAGAAGGUGCCCACCCACAUCGUGGACUACUCAGAAGCCGAGCAGACGGACGAGGAGCUGCGGGAGGAGAUCCACAAGGCAAACGUGGUGUGUGUGGUGUAUGACGUCUCUGAGGAGGCCACCAUUGAGAAGAUUCGAACUAAGUGGAUCCCACUGGUGAAUGGGGGGACCACGCGGGGGCCCAGGUAAUGAGGGGGAUGUGGAAGGGGCUGGGACUCCUGGCUCCCCUGCCCCUGGUGACCAUGGGCCUUCAACCCAGGGUGCCCAUCAUCCUAGUGGGCAACAAGUCAGACCUGCGGUCGGGGAGCUCCAUGGAGGCCGUGCUCCCCAUCAUGAGCCAGUUUCCCGAGAUUGAGACCUGCGUGGAGUGUUCGGCCAAGAACCUGAGGAACAUCUCAGAGCUGUUCUACUACGCCCAGAAGGCCGUCCUGCAUCCCACAGCCCCCCUCUAUGACCCUGAGGCCAAGCAGUUGAGGCCUGCGUGCGCCCAGGCGCUGACGCGCAUCUUCAGGCUCUCAGAUCAGGACCUGGACCAGGCGCUCAGUGACGAAGAGCUCAACGCUUUCCAGAAAUCCUGCUUUGGGCACCCCCUGGCCCCGCAGGCCCUGGAGGACGUGAAGACGGUGGUGUGCAGGAACGUGGCGGGCGGCGUGCGGGAGGACCGGCUGACCCUGGAUGGUGAGGCCGGGUGCCCGCCUGUGCCUGGGGAGUGUGGGGAGGGGGCUGUGCCUGGUGCUCCCCCUGCUCUGUCUCGGUGCAGGUUUCCUCUUCCUGAACACGCUCUUCAUCCAGCGCGGCCGGCACGAGACCACCUGGACCAUCCUGCGGCGCUUCGGCUACAGCGACGCCCUGGAGCUGACUGCGGACUAUCUCUCCCCUCCGCUCCGCGUGCCCCCCGGCUGCAGCACGGAGCUCAACCACCUUGGCUACCAGUUUGUGCAGAGAGUGUUUGAGAAGCACGACCAGGUGAGAGCAUGGCGAGUCCCCUGCCCCUGCCCCCGCCCCCUCCCCGGCACACACAUCACCACAUCCCUCCUUCUGCAGGACCGCGAUGGCGCCCUCUCGCCCGUGGAGCUGCAAAGCCUUUUCAGUGUGUUCCCAGCAGCCCCCUGGGGCCCCGAGCUCCCACGCACAGUCCGCACAGAGGCCGGCCGGUUGCCCCUGCACGGAUACCUCUGCCAGUGGACCCUGGUGACCUACCUGGACGUCCGGAGCUGCCUUGGACACCUAGGCUACCUGGGCUACCCCACCCUCUGUGAGCAGGACUCCCAGGCCCAUGCCAUCACAGGUAGGCACCCACCCUCCCUGGGCCUGGGCCCAGCAUCCUGGCAGCUGCCCUAACCCGUGUCUAUCCUCACAGUCACCCGUGAGAAGAGGCUGGACCAGGAGAAGGGACAGACGCAG